GGUCUGUAGCUCAGUGAUAGAGCAUCUGCCAUGCAUACAGAAGGUCCCAGGUUCUUUUCCUCAAUAUCUGAGAGAGACUCCUGCCUGGAACC